GUCAGUCUGACAGAUAAUGUACUAGACUUAGGAUCUACCUAUGUAGGUGUCAAUCCUACGGCUGAUU
rnacentral:tRNA from 1 species